UACGGGGGGGGCAAGCGUUGUUCGGAAUUACUGGGCGUAAAGGGCUCGUAGGCGGCCAACUAAGUCAGACGUGAAAUCCCUCGGCUUAACCGGGGAACUGCGUCUGAUACUGGAUGGCUUGAGAUUGGGAGAGGGAUGCGGAAUUCCAGGUGUAGCGGUGAAAUGCGUAGAUAUCUGGAGGAACACCGGUGGCGAAGGCGGCAUCCUGGACCAACACUGACGCUGAGGCGCGAAAGUGUGGGGAGCAAACGGG
rnacentral:rRNA from 1 species